AGAAUACGGUAGAAAUUUUAAAACAACACUAAAGAUUAUAGGCUUCAGUAUAUAAAGUAUUUACCAAAAAUUCAAUAUAUUUGUAGGGGUUAGCCCAUAGAUUUUGAGAAAAUUUCAAAAAAUAUGACAAUAUUGUUUUAAUGCCUAGUUUCAUCCUGCACUAACAUAUGAUGAUGUUAAAAGAGGUUUGGAGCCUUUGUCGUCUCCGUUUAUCAAGAAAAUAAUAAUUUUAUAGUGGUUAUUGCAUCGAUUUAAAAAGUAUUAUGAAGUUUUACUAAAUUAAUUGAUAAAAACAAUUGAACGAUGCUCAUUUACCAUGAAAAAGAGUUUAGCAUACAUUAAUACAAAUGUACAAUAUGGUAGAAAUUUUAAAACAACACUAAAGAUUAUAGACUUCAGUAUAUAAAGUAUUUACCUAAAACUCAAUAUAUUUGUAGGGGUUAGCCCUUAGAUUUUGAGAAAAUUUCAAAAAAUAUGACAAUAUUGUUUUAAUGCCUAGUUGCAUCCUUCACUAACAUAUGAUGAUGUUCAAAGAGGUUUGGAGCCUUUGUCGUCUCCGUUUAUCAAGAAAAUAAUAAUUUUAUAGUGGUUAUUCCAUCAAUUUAGGGAGUAUUAUGAAGUUUUACAAAUUAAUUGAUAAAAAAAUUGAACGAUGCUCAUUUACCAUGAAAAAUAGUUUAUCAUACAUUAAUACAAAUGUAGAAUAUGGUAGAAAUUUUAAAACAACACUAAAGAUUAUAGGCUUCAGUAUAUAAAUUAUUUACCAAAAACUCAAUAUUUUUGUAGGGGUUAGCUCAUAGAUUUUGAGAAAAUUUCAAAAAAUAUGACAAUAUUUUUUAAUGCCUAGUAUCAUCCUGCACUAAUAUAUGAUGAUGUUAAAAGAGGUUUGGAGCCUUUGUCAUCUCCGUUUAUCAAGAAAAUAAUAAUUUUAUAGUGGUUAUUCCAUCGAUUUAGGGAGUAUUAUGAUGUUUUAAUAAAUUAAUUGAUAAAAAAGUUAUUGAUUACCAUAUACAAUGAAAAAGAGCUUAAAAUACAUUAAUACAAAUGUAGAAUACGGUAGAAAUUUUAAAACAACACUAAAUAUUAUAGGCUUCAGUAUAUAAAGUAUUUACCAAAAACUAAAUAUUUUUGUAGGGGUUAGCCCAUAGAUUUUGAGAAAAUUUCAAAAAAUAUGACAAUAUUUUUUUAAUGCCUAGUUGCAUCCUGCACUAACAUAUGAUGAUGUUCAAAGAGGUUUGGAGCCUUUGUCGUCUCUGUUUAUCAAGAAAAUAAUAAUUUUAUAGUGGUUAUUCCAUCGAUUUAGGGAGUAUUAUGAAGUUUUACUAAAUAAAUUGAUAAAAACAAUUGAACGAUGCUCAUUUACCAUGAAAAAGAGUGUAUCAUACAUUAAUACAAAUGUAGAACAUGGUAGAAAUUUUAAAACAACACUAAAGUUUAUAGGCUUUAGUAUAUAAAAUAUUUACUAAAGUCAAUAUUUUUGUAGGGGUUAGCACCUAGAUUUUGAGAAAAUUUCAAAAAAUAUGAAAAUAUUGUUUUAAUGCCUAUUUUCAUCCUGCACUAACAUAUGAUGAUGUUCAAAUAGGUUUGGAGCCUUUGUCGUCUUCGUUUAUCAAGAAAAUAAUAAUUUUAUAGUGGUUAUUCCAUCAAUUUAGGGAGUUUAUGAAGUUUUACAAAUUAAUUAAUAAAAAAAAAUGAACGAUGCUCAUUUACCAUGAAAAAGAGUUUAGCAUACAUUAAUACAAAUGUAGAAUAUGGUAAAAAUUUUAAAACAACACUAAAGAUUAUAGGCUUCACUAUAUAAAUUAUUUACCAAAAACUCAAUAUAUUUGUAGGGGUUAGCCCAUAGAUUUUGAGAAAAUUUCAAAAAAUAUGACAAUAUUGUUUUAAUGCCUAGUUUCAUCCUGAACUAACAUAUGAUGAUGUUCAAAGAGGUUUGGAGCCUUUGUCGUCUCAGUUUAUCAAGAAAAUAAUUAUUUUAUAGUGGUUAUUUCAUCGAUUUAGGGAAUAUUAUGAUGUUUUAAUAAAUUAAUUGAUAAAAAAGUUAUUGAUUCCCAUAUACCAUGAAAAAGAGCUUAAAAUACAUUAAUACAAGUGUAGAAUGUGGUUAGUAAUUUUAAAGCAACACUAAAGAUUAUAGGCUUCAAUAUAUAAAUUACUUACCAAAAACUCAAUAUUUUCGUAGGGGUUAGCACAUAGAUUUUGAGAAAAUUUCAAAAAAUAC
rnacentral:lncRNA from 1 species